rnacentral:lncRNA from 1 species
CGCAGCUGGCAUGAUGAAAGCCAGUGGCAGGGGGGCAACCCUCUCGAAUUCGGAGAGGCUAAACUGGCGAUCGGCAGUGAUCGCCGACGUUGAAAAAUCAAAGAGAAGAAGAGACCAAACAAGGGGGUCCCUUCUCCGAUGAAAUCCGGCGACACCCAUCACCGGCUGUUGUGCACAGAGGCAUGGGAAGAAGGAGCGAGGAGAGAUGAGAGAGAAAGAGGAAGAAGGGGUUACCUCAGUCUUCGGUGAUCCCAUCGGUGGGAAAUCAUGGCGAGCACGAAUCAAGGGCCACAGCUUCAAUCAGAGAAAUUAGGGAGGAAA